rnacentral:antisense_RNA from 1 species
GCAGUGAGCGCAGGCGUGGGCAGCAGCGCAGCAGGCGCGCCAGGCAGUCGUCGGUAACGUGGCCGCAGCCCGACAGCGUGACGGACGCCAGGUUGGGGCACCUGUGAGGAGAGUGCGGUGAUCCGGGGCUCACUGGCUUGUUAAAGCCACCCAACCGCCCCGGGGGAGUGAGUGGACUCAUUUACCGAGGAGGACUCGGGCCCUGCGAGGGAAAAAACAAAGAGCGGACUGUCCCCCUGCCCAGCCAUCCUCAGCCAUUCCUCCCGACCUGAGCUGAGUGCCAGAAGAACCAGAUUCAGUAGACGUUCAUCAGUACCUACUAUGUGCCAGGUCACUUCAUCCUGGCCCAGGUACAGCAGCUCCAAAUCGUGGGGAUUCUGUAAGAGCUUGCUACCUGCUGACUGAGGAGGCCCACGAGUCGAGCAAAAAGAAUGAUUCCUCAGCAGUCAUUGUGAAAUUUUGUGGGCCACAAGUAUUGUGCACACAUGAUCCUUGAUUUAGAGUCAACCUGAUGUCCAUUACAGCUGUGGAAAGGCAGCAGGCAGUUGUGUCGCUCUUCACAAUAAGGAACA